CGUAAAGAGAAAAUUGGAUCCAACAAUGUGCUAGCAAGGUUACCUGGAAUCCAAUCGGAUUUUUCUAAACUCAAUUGAUACUUUAUAAGUCUAAUUGCUUAUUCCAGAUCUAAUCUCUUUAUUGUGUGACCCCAUAGGUUCAAUUCUAUCUGGUAGUGAGAUAUACAAUGAUUUCUAUCAAAGUAUCAUUGAAACUCUUUUCAAUAGGUCAGAACAAUUUCACUCUAACUCAUCAAGGAUUGUCAAUCCUGAACAAUCCAAGUUAGCUCUCACAAUCUACCAGUGACACCUAGC
rnacentral:lncRNA from 1 species